AAAAUUUUAUUAGUUUAAAAUGGUUUCUUUCUUCGACUUUUUUCGUAAAGAUCGCAGACGUGGAACACCCUCCACUGGUUUCGGUCCGGUGAGGCGGAAUUCCUUUUCCGAAUAUACUCUACUGCUGUCGCAAAAGUUGCGAAGGUGGAACUCUCUCCACUACCUUUCUUUCAACUAAAGGAAAACCCCGUUAAAUAUAAACUAAGUACUCGUGAAGAGGAAACCCUCAGGCUCUUGGAGUCGCUUACGCGUACCGUGACAGCAUAUUUCCAUAAAGGAUUACUUGCAUUUUUAAAAGCAUUAUUGGAUUACCGAAAGAAAAAUUAACCUAAAUCUGUUGAAAGUCGUGUACCAGUGUCAAGUCACGGAGGUGCUCCGUCACAUGGCGGCUAACCUCAAACAUCGAAAUAAGAGCCCUAAAGUGUAGCGAAUAUGUUGCAGUCAAAGCAGAAUUUCAUUGAAAUUCUGACUGACAAUAACUAAAAUAGACAAAAUAUUAUUCAUACUAUUUCAUGGCGUUGGAUGGAUUUAAACGUAAAUGACUCAGUCUGAAAUUAGUCAGAAAGGCAACACCAAUGCACAGGGAAGGAAGCAUAUUAAUGCAUAACUGAUUUGACCUCAUUUAAUUUUCUUUUUACGCCGCCACUGGUAGUGCGUAAAUUUCUAACGGAAGUGUUUGUAACCUUGAACUUGAAAUUUGUAGUUCUUUGGAGAGUAUGUAAAUUUAUAUGUAAGCAUAUUAAUAUUUAGAGCUUGGAAUUAACUCGCUCAUUUUAACUCACCACACCGUAGCACAUUCAACACGUGCCUGCUGAUCCAGCUCGGAGUAUCAAAAAUAUAUUUGGAAUUAUGAGAAGUAGUUUUAUCGAUUUCAUAACCAGUCACAGCGGCAAAAUAAUCAUCAUAGGGGAUAAUGAAUUGGUAAUGUGGAAUUAUCAUUUUCUUUCGAAAUUAGUGCCGCGUCGAACUGGCCCUCUUUCAAGCGAAGGCUAAGCAUAUGGUAUUACAUGGGGACACCUACGCAGUUUUGCGAAAUAUUGACAUGAUCACCGAAGGCGUAACAGAAGAAAGUCUAGCGCGUUCCGACAAACUUUUAAGUAUACGCGAUAAUAUUCGUGGAUUUUUGGAGAAGGCCCAUUAUCGCAAUGAACAUCGUUAUAACCUGCGAACUCGAGAAAUAAAAUAUAAGGUUGGUCAAGAGGUCUUACGCAGAAACUUUGCUCAUAGUAACAUGGCAAAACAUUUUAAUGCAAAGCUGGCAAAAACUUUCCUUAAAGCCAGAGUGCGAGAGAUAUUAGGUUCAUCUUAUUAUUCAUUAGAAGAUUUGGAAGGUAAAGGUAUAGGCACAAAUCAUGCAAAAGACAUGCAACCCUGCUAAACAUGUCGCCUUUUUCAGAUUUCCUUUAAAUGUAAUCCUGUACAAUUUAAAGAAAACCUGCUUUGUGAGCGCGAUUAAUAAAUAUAACUAUUUUUUUUCUUGUCUUGAAUUAUGUCAAAGUAUUAAGUAUUAUAAAAAAAAAAACAUUAAAAAAAAAAAUUUUUUUUUGCUUUAAAAACAAAUAAUAGAAGUUAAGCCCUAAUAAAUUAAAUAAGUCUUUUUCCAGAUCUACUACUUGCCGGUAGUAGAUUCGCUUUUGCCUGCAAGCCCGCGCUUGUCAAGUUAGCAAACAUCUGUUUACAACCACACUUACCAUUUCCGCAAGAUUUUAAUGUUCUUUUCUUCUGAGCAUC
rnacentral:lncRNA from 1 species